CAAGUCGAACGAGUUCUCGUUGAUGAUCGGUGCUUGCACUGAGAUUCAACAUGGAACGAGUGGCGGACGGGUGAGUAACACGUGGGUAACCUGCCCUUAAGUGGGGGAUAACAUUUGGAAACAGAUGCUAAUACCGCAUAGAUCCAAGAACCGCAUGGUUCUUGGCUGAAAGAUGGCGUAAGCUAUCGCUUUUGGAUGGACCCGCGGCGUAUUAGCUAGUUGGUGAGGUAAUGGCUCACCAAGGCGAUGAUACGUAGCCGAACUGAGAGGUUGAUCGGCCACAUUGGGACUGAGACACGGCCCAAACUCCUACGGGAGGCAGCAGUAGGGAAUCUUCCACAAUGGACGCAAGUCUGAUGGAGCAACGCCGCGUGAGUGAAGAAGGCUUUCGGGUCGUAAAACUCUGUUGUUGGAGAAGAAUGGUCGGCAGAGUAACUGUUGUCGGCGUGACGGUAUCCAACCAGAAAGCCACGGCUAACUACGUGCCAGCAGCCGCGGUAAUACGUAGGUGGCAAGCGUUAUCCGGAUUUAUUGGGCGUAAAGCGAGCGCAGGCGGUUUUUUAAGUCUGAUGUGAAAGCCCUCGGCUUAACCGAGGAAGCGCAUCGGAAACUGGGAAACUUGAGUGCAGAAGAGGACAGUGGAACUCCAUGUGUAGCGGUGAAAUGCGUAGAUAUAUG
rnacentral:rRNA from 1 species